UGGUGAGGUGAGCAGCUUGUCUUUGUUGUUCCUAUGUAUUAGAUCACUGAUUGUAGUACUCUUCCGAGUUGAGGUUGGGUUACAGAUUCAAUCAGUAGCACUUGAACCUCUUGGAUUACGGCAAGUGCUGAUUUUUGGGUAUUUUGAUUUAGGGAUCAGUUAUCAGCGGCUGAGGGAAAACGAUUGGCACUAUUGUAGGUACGGCAGAUUUGGUUCCGAUGAUCCCGCUUCGGCGGUGACGCCCUCGGGCCGUAUCCCACCAGCGGUCACUUGAUUGUGAAUUGAGGACUUUGAUUCGAGACGGUGUCUCGACGAGGAUUUAUUCGGAUACGAUCUUUCUUAUU